rnacentral:rRNA from 1 species
CCUACGGGAGGCAGCAGUGGGGAAUAUUGGGCAAUGGAGGCAACUCUGACCCAGCAAUGCCGCGUGAGUGAUGAAGGUAAUUUUAUUGUAAAGCUCUUUUCUUUGGAACGAAUAAAUGACGGUACCAAAGGAAUAAGCCCCGGCUAACUACGUGCCAGCAGCCGCGGUAAUACGUAGGGGGCAAGCGGUGUUCGGAAUGACUGGGCGUAAAGGGUGUGUAGGUGGUUUGUUAAGUUAGAUGUGUAAUACCCAGGGCUUAACUCGGGUGCUGCAUCUAAAACGGUUAGACUAGAGUACUGGAGAGGAGAGUAGAAUUCCUGGGGUAGCGGUGGAAGGCGUAGAGAGUGGGAGGAAGAUCAGUGGCGAAGGCGACUAUCUGGACAGAAACUGACACUGAGGCGCGAAAGCGUGGGGAGCAAACAGGAUUAGAUACCCGGGUAGUC